rnacentral:rRNA from 1 species
CCUACGGGAGGCAGCAGUAGGGAAUCUUCCGCAAUGGGCGAAAGCCUGACGGAGCAACGCCGCGUGAGUGAUGAAGGUCUUCGGAUCGUAAAACUCUGUUAUUAGGGAAGAACAAAUGUGUAAGUAACUAUGCACGUCUUGACGGUACCUAAUCAGAAAGCCACGGCUAACUACGUGCCAGCAGCCGCGGUAAUACGUAGGUGGCAAGCGUUAUCCGGAAUUAUUGGGCGUAAAGCGCGCGUAGGCGGUUUUUUAAGUCUGAUGUGAAAGCCCACGGCUCAACCGUGGAGGGUCAUUGGAAACUGGAAAACUUGAGUGCAGAAGAGGAAAGUGGAAUUCCAUGUGUAGCGGUGAAAUGCGCAGAGAUAUGGAGGAACACCAGUGGCGAAGGCGACUUUCUGGUCUGUAACUGACGCUGAUGUGCGAAAGCGUGGGGAUCAAACAGGAUUAGAUACCCUGGUAGUCCACGCCGUAAACGAUGAGUGCUAAGUGUUAGGGGGUUUCCGCCCCUUAGUGCUGCNGCACGCAUAAGCACUCCGCCGUCGGGGAGGUACGACCGCGAAGGUUAGUAACGUACAAAGUAGUAAGUUAGUACGGCGUGAGACGUGACCGACGGACGACGACGAGGGGAGGAGG